rnacentral:tRNA from 1 species
AAGAAUGUGGCGAAAAGGUAUCGCGUUAGCUUUGGGAGUUAAAGAUUGUAUGUUCGAAUCUUACUAUUCUGA